CCGGGGGAGGGCUUGGAGCGUAAAGAAUG
rnacentral:piRNA from 1 species